GUGGUUGUAGCUCAGUGGUAGAGCGCUCGCCUAGCAUGCGUGAGGCACUGGGUUCGAUCCCUGGCACCACA
rnacentral:tRNA from 1 species